CGAUGAAUGAUUGGAUUUUUUGCGAGUAUAAGUGGGAGGCUUGAUUUAUUCUUGCGGGAUUUAGGAGCCAUCAGUGAGAUACCACUCUGGUAAUGUUAGAUUUCUAACUUUGAAUCAUAAUCUGGUCAAAGAACAGUUUCAGGCGGGCAGUUUGACUGGGGCGGUCGCCUCCCAAAUGGUAACGGAGGCGUACAAAGGUUUCCUCUGAACGUGUAGAAAUCGUAUCUAGAGUGUAAAGGCAUAAGGAAGCUUGACUGUGAGACCUACAAGUCGAGCAGGGACGAAAGUCGGUCUUAGUGAUCUGACGGUGCUGAGUGGAAAGGCCGUCACUCAACGGAUAAAAGUUACUCUAGGGAAACAGGCUGAA
rnacentral:rRNA from 1 species